GAAAUGAGAUCAAAGUUCUCCUGCAAAGUUGUACCAUGGAAGGCAGUAAUGCACGAGAAUCUUUAGGCUCCAUGAAGGCAGAGGAAAUGUGGCCCCGGUAACUAGCUCAGGGCUUGACAAUGGCAGAGAGACAGAACAGACAAAAAGAAAUCUUCCAUCUUCUGGUUAACUUCCCAGAUCAUUGCAACAGCCGGGGCUGGAUGUUGAACCAUCCCUACACAAUAGAGAUAAAUCUCACUUGGUCCAGAAGACAAUGGUGUACUGGGGAGACUGGCGUCAAACUAGUCUAAUAAAAUCCCAGAUAUCCUCAGAAGAGUGUCCCCAGGAGAAAUGAGCUUGACCGCUGUCUUCACCAAUUUCACUUGACCACUUAAUUGGCCUUGAAGAAGAUAGAAGACAACACCAUACUUGUGUUAAUUGUAUAUGCCAAAGCCAAUGAGCAUCAGAUAAAACAGACUGUGAUGACAUCUAUGACAUUGAUAUAUCCAUGGUCAAUCAGCCCUGAUGGAGAACAAGCAUAUGUUUUACUAUUUCCUGAUUAUGAUGCUUUGGGUGCUGCCAACAAAAUUCAGAUAAUCUAAACUGAAUCCAGCUGGCUAAUUUA